rnacentral:rRNA from 1 species
UGAGGAAUAUUGCACAAUGGGGGGAACCCUGAUGCAGCGACGCCGCGUGGGUGAUGACGGCCUUCGGGUUGUAAAGCCCUUUUGCCAUUGACGAGAACGGACGGUAGAUGGCGAAUAAGCCUCGGCUAACUACGUGCCAGCAGCCGCGGUAAAACGUAGGAGGCGAGCGUUAUCCGGAGUUACUGGGCGUAAAGCGUGCGCAGGCGGUGCCAUAAGUCAGGUGUGAAAGGUUCCGGCUCAACCGGGAAAACGCGCUUGAGACUGUGGGACUAGAGUGGGAUAGAGGGACGUGGAAUUCCGGGUGGAGCGGUGAAAUGUGUAGAGAUCCGGAGGAACACCAGAGGCGCAAGCGGCGUCCUGGGUCCCAACUGACGCUGAGGCACGAAAGCUUGGGGAGCGAACGGG